rnacentral:rRNA from 1 species
AUGCUCACGGUGUAUGGACCACAGGACUUCUGCGACAAACUCCAAUUCUUGGCGAACAUGAAGACGGCUUAUCAACAGUUUCCGCAAGAUACCCCGGUUUUCUUAGGCGGGGACUUCAACCUGACAGCGCAAGCAUCUGAUAAAAGCAACAACAACAUCAGCCGAAGAGGCAUAACAGCGUUUAGAGGAUUCAUCAAUGAUCUGCAACUCAAAGACCUGUACUUGCAAGGCCGCCGAUACACUUGGAGUAAUGAUCAAGCGAGAGCAACGAUGGUUAAACUGGAUCGCGUUCUGUUCAAUGACAGUUGGGACGCUGCUUUCCCGGGUAGCCUACUCCAGGCGCUCUCCUCGGAGAUCUCCGACCACUGCCCGUUGCUGCUGACGUGUGACGCACCAUUCAGGCCUGCUAGACACUUCUGCUUCGAGAAUUACUGGGUGAAGAUGGAGAAUUUUGACCAAGUGGUGCAACAUGCUUGGCACCAGCCAGUGACUACUUCCGAUCCGCUAGCUCGAAUCCACCAAAAACUACAACGCACUAGCAAGGAAUUGAAAGCUUGGAGCUCAGAGUUCAGCAACAACAUCACUCUCAAAGGGGCCAUCAUUAGCGAGAUCAUUGCAAGGCUUGAUGAUGCAAUGGACAAGAGAAGAGCUCACGUCUGA